UACGGAGGGGGCGAGCGUUGUCCGAAGUUACUGGGCGUAAAGCGCGCGUAGGCGGGUUGGUAAGUCCGCUGUGAAAGCCCGGAGCUUAACUCCGGAGGGUCGGUGGAUACUGCCAGUCUUGAAGGUGCUAGGGGGAGAUGGAAUUACCGGUGUAGCGGUGAAAUGCGUAGAUAUCGGUAGGAACACCAGGGGCAAGGCGGUCUCCUGGGGCAUUCUUGACGCUGAGGCGCGAAAGCUGGGGGAGCAAACGGG
rnacentral:rRNA from 1 species